rnacentral:rRNA from 1 species
UACAGAGGGGGCAAGCGUUAUUCGGAAUUAUUGGGCGUAAAGGGCGUGUAGGCGGUCUGCUAAGUCAUGUGUGAAAUCCCUCGGCUUAACCGAGGAACGACGCAUGAAACUGGCAAGCUAGAGUACCAAAGAGGGGGUGGAAUCCCGGUGUAGCGGUGAAAUGCGUAGAGAUGUGGAGGAACACCAGUGGCGAAGGCGACUCUUUGGCCUGUAACUGACGCUGAGGCGCGAAAGCGUGGGGAGCAAACAGG